rnacentral:rRNA from 1 species
GAUGAACGCUAGCGGCAGGCCUAAUACAUGCAAGUCGAGGGGUAACAUGCGAGCUUGCUCGUGAUGACGACCGGCGGACGGGUGCGUAACGCGUAUGCGACCUACCAUCAACUACAGGAUAGCCCUAAGAAAUUGGGAUUAAUACUGUAUAACAUUAUAAAGCUGCAUGGUUUAAUAAUUAAAGAUUUAUUGGUUGAUGAUGGGGCAUGCGUCUGAUUAGCUAGAUGGUGAGGUAAUGGCUCACCAUGGCAACGAUCAGUAGGGGUUCUGAGAGGAUGAUCCCCCACACUGGAACUGAGACACGGUCCAG